CCUCUGCCCUCAAACCACUAUCGCCGUGAGGAUGACGAUGACAAUGACGAUGCUGAUGACAAUGAUGGCCUGUGUGCAACACUCUGCUGGCCUUCCCAGAGGCUCUACCAGGAAUCCCCCACAGCCUGGGACUUCUGCUCCUGGAAACAGUUAAGGCUUUGGCAAGAGGCUCUCCCACAAGGCAAUUCGAUCUCCCCUGUCUGUCUGUGAGGGUUCGGGGCACUGCUGUGGCACGCCAGACGCAGCAGCUACUUUCUGUGAACAGCCUCCUCAUAAAUGUCAGUCCUGUUGGGGGGUGGGGAGGGGGCCUUGAUUUAUUAUAUAGCUUUUGGACAGUUCCUACAGAAAUAUUGCCAAACAGUGGAAUAAUCAACUCUUUCACUCAAGCCCCCUCAGACUUUUUUUAAUGAAAGAAUAAAGUACGCAAUGAGCCUGAGCUAAAUAAAUAAAAAUGCCACACUUUUGCCCAAC
rnacentral:lncRNA from 10 species